rnacentral:rRNA from 1 species
CCUACGGGUCGCUGCAGUGGGGAAUAUUGGACAAUGGGCGAAAGCCUGAUCCAGCCAUGCCGCGUGUGUGAAGAAGGCCUUCGGGUUGUAAAGCACUUUCAGUGGGGAAGAAAGCCUUGGGGCUAAUACCCUCGAGGAAGGACAUCACCCACAGAAGAAGCACCGGCUAACUCCGUGCCAGCAGCCGCGGUAAUACGGAGGGUGCGAGCGUUAAUCGGAAUUACUGGGCGUAAAGCGCGCGUAGGCGGUCUGAUAAGCCGGUUGUGAAAGCCCCGGGCUCAACCUGGGAACGGCAUCCGGAACUGUCAGGCUAGAGUGCAGGAGAGGAAGGUAGAAUUCCCGGUGUAGCGGUGAAAUGCGUAGAGAUCGGGAGGAAUACCAGUGGCGAAGGCGGCCUUCUGGACUGACACUGACGCUGAGGUGCGAAAGCGUGGGUAGCAAACAGGAUUAGAUACCCUGGUAGC